AAGGUUUCCGUAGGUGAACCUGCGGAAGGAUCAUUACCGAGUGAGGGCCCUUUGGGUCCAACCUCCCACCCGUGUUUAUUUACCUCGUUGCUUCGGCGGGCCCGCCUUAACUGGCCGCCGGGGGGCUCACGCCCCCGGGCCCGCGCCCGCCGAAGACACCCCCGAACUCUGCCUGAAGAUUGUCGUCUGAGUGAAAAUAUAAAUUAUUUAAAACUUUCAACAACGGAUCUCUUGGUUCCGGCAUCGAUGAAGAACGCAGCGAAAUGCGAUACGUAAUGUGAAUUGCAAAUUCAGUGAAUCAUCGAGUCUUUGAACGCACAUUGCGCCCCCUGGUAUUCCGGGGGGCAUGCCUGUCCGAGCGUCAUUGCUGCCCUCAAGCCCGGCUUGUGUGUUGGGCCCCGUCCUCCGAUUCCGGGGGACGGGCCCGAAAGGCAGCGGCGGCACCGCGUCCGGUCCUCGAGCGUAUGGGGCUUUGUCACCCGCUCUGUAGGCCCGGCCGGCGCUUGCCGAUCAACCCAAAUUUUUAUCCAGGUUGACCUCGGAUCAGGU
rnacentral:rRNA from 1 species